UUAUUAAUGCUCGGAGCUCUGAUGCGAACUGUGGGUGGACGCUGGAAAUGUUGAUUGCCUGCGUCCACCCACAUUUCGCAUCAGAGCUCCGAGCAUUAAUAA